UCGGAAACAACCGUCCUACCUUGGUAGGAGUAAGGUCUGCGUACAUUUUACCCUCUCCAGACCCACGUUGUGAGAUUUCACUGGAUUGUUGUUGUUGUUGUUGGUACAAAAGUGACAAAAUUCAUCAAACACAUCCCUAAAAAAUAGGGUUUUCUAUUUGCUUUUCUCUCAUUGUUCGUCUUCUCCACUCCUCCACCGCUAUGUUCCAAUUGCCUUUCAACCAUAGCUUGCUCUCUCUUCUCCUUUGGAUCAUCAAAUUCUUCAUCGAUGACUUUGGAAGUUUGCAUUCAACUCUCAGAAAUGUGUAUUCUGGUAGAGAUCUUUGAGUUCAAGCUGAACUCGUCGAAGGGUUUGAGCCAAGUGAAUCAGUAUUGAAGCUUGUUGUAGGUGUACUUUCUCCCUAUUAGUGCUUCUCUCCUAGCUGCAUCAUUUACUUUCUAUUGUGUUUUUAGCUGAAGCACUAGUGGAGAAGAUGGUGUUGCUCUCCUGUUCUUUCCUUUGAAGCUCUUGAUUGAAUCUGCUCUACAGUUAGUUGAUCCGAUUUCAAAAUCCUCUCCUUUUGUUGGUCCUUUUUAUAAGCUGAAAUAGUUUAUGCUAGGAAGCUUAGUCAGCAUGGCUUUUAGAGGGGAAAAACUUUGCUAUGUAAAUAUUAUAGUUGUGUUUUCUUGAUUUCUUUUGCGACUGAUUUAGCAUGUUAAUGUAAUUUUCCUGAUAUUUAUUUUGAGUGUUGCUAUUUGCUUUUUA